rnacentral:miRNA from 1 species
UGCUGUUGGAUUCGCGGUCCCGGG